rnacentral:rRNA from 1 species
CUACGGGCGGCUCCAGUGGGGAAUAUUGCACAAUGGGCGCAAGCCUGAUGCAGCCAUGCCGCGUGUAUGAAGAAGGCCUUCGGGUUGUAAAGUACUUUCAGCGGGGAGGAAGGGAGUAAAGUUAAUACCUUUGCUCAUUGACGUUACCCGCAGAAGAAGCACCGGCUAACUCCGUGCCAGCAGCCGCGGUAAUACGGAGGGUGCAAGCGUUAAUCGGAAUUACUGGGCGUAAAGCGCACGCAGGCGGUUUGUUAAGUCAGAUGUGAAAUCCCCGGGCUCAACCUGGGAACUGCAUCUGAUACUGGCAGGCUUGAGUCUCGUAGAGGGGGGUAGAAUUCCAGGUGUAGCGGUGAAAUGCGUAGAGAUCUGGAGGAAUACCGGUGGCGAAGGCGGCCCCCUGGACGAAGACUGACGCUCAGGUGCGAAAGCGUGGGGAGCAAACAGGAUUAGAUACCCCCGUAGUC